UAGCUAGGCUUAACAUUGUUAGGUCGUCAGCUUCUUAGAGGGACUAUCGGUGUUUAACCGAUGGAAGUUUGAGGCAAUAACAGGUCUGUGAUGCCCUUAGAUGUUCUGGGCCGCACGCGCGCUGCACUGAUGAAGUCAUCGAGUUCAUUUCCUUCAUCGGAAGAUGUGGGUAAUCUUUUGAAACUUCAUCGUGCUGGGGAUAGAGCUUUGCAACUAUUGCUCUUGAACGAGGAAUCCCUAGUAAGUACAAGUCAUCAGCUUGUGCUGAUUACGUCCCUGCCCUUUGUACACACCGCCCGUCGCUACUACCGAUUGAAUGGCUUAGUGAGACCCUCGGAUUGAGAUUUAGAGACUUUAAACGGUUUCCGGAUUUUGAGAAGUUGGUCAAACUUGGUCAUUUAGAGGAAGUAAAGGUCGUAACAAGGUUUCCGUAGGUGAACCUG
rnacentral:rRNA from 1 species